CGCGGACCGGAAAGUUGCGGGUGAAAUCCCGGGGCUCAACCCCGGAACUGCCUUCAAAACUAUCGGUCUGGAGUUCGAGAGAGGUGAGUGGAAUUCCGAGUGUAGAGGUGAAAUUCGUAAUAUUCGGAGGAACACCAGUGGCGAACGCG
rnacentral:rRNA from 1 species